GAUGAAGAACGUAGUGAAAUGCGAUAAUUAAUGUGAAUUGCAGAAUUCAGUGAAUCAUCGAGUCUUUGAACGCACAUUGCGCCCCCUGGUAUUCCGGGGGGCAUGCCUGUCCGAGCGCCAUUGCUGCCCUCAAGCACGGCUUGUGUGUUGGGCUUCCGUCCCUGGCAACGGGGACGGGCCCAAAAGGCAGUGGCGGCACCAUGUCUGGUCCUCGAGCGUAUGGGGCUUUGUCACCCGCUCCCGUAGGUCCAGCUGGCAGCUAGCCUCGCAACCAAUCUUUUUAACCAGGUUGACCUCGGAUCAGGUAGGGAUACCCGCUGAACUUAAGCAUAUCAAUAAGCGGAGGA
rnacentral:misc_RNA from 1 species